rnacentral:lncRNA from 10 species
UUUCAGGCUGAAUAAUUUUCCGUGGUAUAGACAGACCACACUGGAAAAAAAUCUAUUCACCCGUCAGUGGACGUUUAGUUGCUCCUAUCUUUGGGCAAUUGUGAAGAAGGCUGUUGUGAACAUGGGUGUACAAAUCUCUUUGAGUCCCUGCUUUCAUUUCUUUUGGGAUGUAUCACUUGGUUUUCUCUGAUUCUUACCACAAUACUCUGGAAACACCUGAUCAUCGUUUUGCAUAUUCGGAUGCCGCAGUGCAGGAGCAGCAUCUCCGGAUCGGUGAAGCGGUCCUGGGAAGGAUGUCUCCUCGUGGUGGAACAAUCAAAGUGUACGGAAAGACAGUUUUUCUCUAAAAAACUAAAUGGCUUACUAGGGACCAAAUCCAGAGUCUUGACCCACUUAACUGGAUCCCUUGGCUGAUCCUGAGUGGGCCACAGGCUGGACCCAGAACAUGUGUCUUCAGGCCCUCCAGGCCUCUAGCAGGGCACUUAUGUUCACACACCAGGGCUCAAGCCUGAAGGCCAAUAGAGGCCAGGGCUGAUGGAGUGGAGCCUGCGGCCAGCAUUGGGCCUGCCCUGCCAGCCACGGGUGCCUCCUUCUUGCUGGCCGGCUGGCUGGGUAUUCUGUGCACGGACUGCAGUUUGGUGGAAGAAAGGCGAUUCCUUUACUUGUGUGGCAGGGUUCCAGAGAAGAUGUGCAUUUAUAACUGGGACUCUGACAGCCUUGGGUUAGUCCCUGGUGGGCCACUGAACCGGACCUAUUCAUUUCAGGCCUGAGGUCACAGAUGGGAAGGCCAUUUAUUACAAAGUAAACCUAAGUGAAAGUUCAAAUCUAUCAGUGCUUCUUAAUCCUAACUGGACGUUCAGAUAACCUGGGAGGUAGACACAGAUACCUGAGUCUCCCCCUUUCUCCCCAGAUUCUGGUUUAAUUGGUCUGGGUGAGGCCCAGGUGUCAGCAUACUAUCAAAGAUUUCGGGUGAGUCCA